rnacentral:misc_RNA from 1 species
CAGAGGUUGUUCGUCUUGCACACAGUGAGAUGAAGGAUCCUGUGCCUUUAGAUGUCUCAUCAUUAAUCACAUUUUCUGGAAACCUUGGACCACCAUUGGAGUUAUGUGAUGGGGAUCCUGGUACUCUCUCUGUAACUGUUUGGAGUGGCUUUCCUGAUGAUAUAACUCUUGAUUCUCUUAGCCUCACAUUGAUGGCUACAUUUAAUGCUGAUGAAGGUGCUAAGGCAUUAAGGAGCUCUACUGCUACUGUGCUAAAGCCUGGUAGGAACACAAUUACCCUUGCUUUACCCACGCAGAAGCCUGGUUCCUAUGUCUUGGGGGUCCUUACUGGGCAAAUUGGUCAAUUGAGGUUUAGAUCGCAUAGUUUUUCCAAGGGUGGCCCAGCAGACAGUGAUGAUUUUAUGAGUUAUGAAAAGCCAACUAGGCCUAUCUUGAAGGUUUUCAAACCGAGACCUCUGGUUGAUCUCACUGCAGCUGUUUCAUCUGCUUUGCUAAUAAAUGAAACUCAGUGGGUUGGGAUUAUAGUGCGGCCCAUUGACUACUCUCUCAAAGGUUCUGUCUUGCACAUUGAUACUGGUCCAGGUCUGAAGAUUGAAGAGUCACAUGUCAUUGAGAUGGAGAGCUGUGCCAAUGUAUCACAAAGUGCAGCUGACAUUUCAAACAUGAAUGGCACUCAAAAAGAUUGUACUUUGGCCGCUAAUAAAGAGCCUGAGCAAUUAAGCCUUGAUGAUGGUAGAAUAGAAUUUUCAGAUUGGGCAAGUGAUGUGAAUUCUGUUCUUUGGAUCCCUGUUCUUGCUAUCAGUGACACACUUCCAAAAGGAUCAUCUUCAGUCAACCCUCAGAAACAAAGCAUUGUGGAUGGUAUGAGAACAAUAGCAUUGAAACUUGAAUUUGGAGCAUCUCACAACCAGAUAUUUGAAAAAACUAUAGCUGUUCAUUUCACUGACCCUUUCCAUGUGAGCACACGCGUUGCAGAUAAAUGCAAUGAUGGUACUCUGCUUCUGCAGGUGAUACUACACUCCCAAGUGAAAGCCUCAUUGACUAUAUAUGAUGCUUGGCUUGAACUUCAAGAUGGAUUUGUUCACACUGGAAAAGGCAAUGGAAGGCCAACGUCAAGCUUCUUUCCGCUUGUGAUUUCUCCAACCUCAAAAGCGGGAAUCUUGUUCAGUAUUUGCUUAGGGAAGAUGAUUGGUGAAGAUGAAUUAGAGGCACGGAAACCAGAGACAGAGAGCAUAUUAAAUAUCAGAUAUGGAAUUUCUGGUGAGAGAACAAUUGGAGCACACCCUCCUGUGGCUGUGGAAUCAGUUAGACCUGAGGUAGCAAGGCAGGACUUGAUCUUCAAGAGUGCUCUUGUUUUGCAAAGGCCUGUGCUUGACCCAUGCCUAGCUGUUGGUUUUCUUCCUCUUCCAUCGACUGGCCUGAGAGUUGGGCAACUUGUUACCAUGAAGUGGAGGAUUGAAAGAUUGAAGGGUUUUGGAGAUGAUGAAAUAUCUGAACAGAGUGGUGAGGUUUUGUAUGAAGUCAGUGCAAAUUCCGAGAAUUGGAUGAUUGCUGGAAGGAAGAGAGGACAUGUUUCACUUUCCACAAAUCAAGGUUCAAGGAUAGUUAUCUCAAUACUAUGUGUGCCACUGGUGGCUGGUUAUGUUCGUCCUCCCCGCCUUGGGCUGCCAAAUGUUGACGAGUCUAAUAUAAGUAACAAUCCUCCUGGGCCUCAUCUGGUUUGUGUCAUGCCCCCUGUUUUGAGCUCCUCCUUUUGCAUCCCAGCAUGAUUGUUUUCAGCUCAUGCAUUCUGGUUGUCCUAGUUUUCCACGAAAAGUGGUUGGAUAGGUUCUUUGCUUCAAGCAAAUUAAAAGUAUCCAGUUUUGCUUACCUUGAAAUCUGUAAAUUUGUAUGUUCACCUAUUGUAGAGAAUCAAGAGAAGUUAGUUUGAGUUGUUCGAAUUUAGUUGCAGCCAGGUGGGUUUUUUGAGUGCUGCCAUCUGCUGUAUAACACUAUUAGUUCCUUAAACAUGUAUAGUUGAAUGCUGUAUGCUUCAUGUACGAGACACAAUGGAAACUGAAAAUCACAUUUUCAUCACCCUUAAAAAUUGUUUGGAUGACAUUUGUUUUGAUACAAAAUUAAGAAAAAAAA